rnacentral:rRNA from 1 species
CAGCCGCCACGGGAACACGAAGGGUGCAAGCGUUACUCGGAAUUACUGGGCGUAAAGCGUGCGUAGGUGGUGGUUUAAGUCCGUUGUGAAAGCCCUGGGCUCAACCUGGGAAUUGCAGUGGAUACUGGGUCACUAGAGUGUGGUAGAGGAUAGUGGAAUUUCCGGUGUAGCAGUGAAAUGCGUAGAGAUCGGAAGGAACAUCUGUGGCGAAGGCGACUAUCUGGGCCAACACUGACACUGAGGCACGAAAGCGUGGGGAGCAAACAGGAUUAGAUACCCGCGUAGUCCCUGUCUCUUAUAC